rnacentral:rRNA from 1 species
UACGUAGGGGGCAAGCGUUGUUCGGAAUUACUGGGCGUAAAGGGCGCGUAGGCGGCCUUCUAAGUCGAACGUGAAAUCCCCGGGCUCAACCCGGGAACUGCGUCCGAUACUGGAAGGCUUGAAUCCGGGAGAGGGAUGUGGAAUUCCAGGUGUAGCGGUGAAAUGCGUAGAUAUCUGGAGGAACACCGGUGGCGAAGGCGACAUCCUGGACCGGUAUUGACGCUGAGGCGCGAAAGCCAGGGGAGCAA